rnacentral:rRNA from 1 species
GCCGCGGGAAUUCGAUUCGUAUUACCUCGGCUGCUGGCACGGAGUUAGCCGGAGCUUAUUCUCCCGGUACUGUCAUUAUCAUCCCGGGUAAAAGAGCUUUACUACCCUAAGGCCUUCAUCACUCACGCGGCAUUGCUGGAUCAGGCUUGCGCCCAUUGUCCAAUAUUCCCCACUGCUGCCUCCCGUAGGAGUCUGGGCCGUGUCUCAGUCCCAGUGUGGCUGAUCAUCCUCUCAGACCAGCUAAGGAUCGUCGGCUUGGUAGGCCUUUACCCCACCAACUACCUAAUCCUACGCGGGCUCAUCCCUGGCCGAUAAAUCUUUGGUCCGAAGACAUCAUCCGGUAUUAGCAGUCAUUUCUAACUGUUAUUCCGAAGCCAAGGGCAGAUUCCCACGCGUUACGCACCCGUGCGCCACUAACCCCGAAGGGUUCGUUCGACUUGCAUGUGUUAGGCAUGCCGCCAGCGUUCGUUCUGAGCCAUGAUCAAACUCUAAUCACUAGUGAAUUCGCGGCCGCCUGCAGGUCGACCAUA